rnacentral:rRNA from 1 species
UACGUAGGGGGCUAGCGUUGUCCGGAUUUAUUGGGCGUAAAGGGCGUGUAGGCGGCCAGGUAGGUCUGCUGUGAAAACUCGAGGCUCAACCUCGAGACGUCGGCGGAAACCAUCUGGCUAGAGUCCGGAAGAGGAGAGUGGAAUUCCUGGUGUAGCGGUGAAAUGCGCAGAUAUCAGGAAGAACACCGGUGGCGAAAGCGCUCUGCUAGGCCGCAACUGACACUCAGGGACGAAAGCUAGGGGAGCGAAUGGG